rnacentral:lncRNA from 1 species
CCAAAACGAGAUCAAUGUGAGCUUAGAUAGGAGGAGACCACAACAGAAAAAGACAAGUGUGUAUCAUAUUCAAUUAUUCAAACCUAACACGUCUUUGUGGAUCUGAUGAUGUGAUAUUACUGUCUCGAUUCAUCUCUAAUCUUUUUUUUUUUUUUUCUCGUUGACCACAUCAUUACAAAUCUAUACAUAUUAAUUUGAUUAAGUCUUUUCUUUCCUCCUCAUUUCUCACAUGUAAACAUUAAAUAUCAUUGCAUAAACAUUACCC